rnacentral:misc_RNA from 1 species
UCCAACCGUAAGGAGGAGGGCGCCUAAGGCAGGGCUGGUGACUGGGGUGAAGUCGUAACAAGGUAGCCGUACCGGAAGGUGCGGCUGGAUCACCUCCUUUUAGGGAGACCUACUCAACCUGCCAAGGUCAUCUUGGUUACUCACGAACUGGUUUGGGUCAUCCUAGGUCUAUAGGUCGUUGGGCUGUUUGAAAUUCUUGGCUGUUCGCCAGAGCAGCCGGACUGAGGAGCGACGCGGGCU